UACCCACCAGCUCUUAAUCUCGUUCGAUCCCCACCAGACCCCUCGUCCACAUGCGCCAUUUCUCCUGAUUUGCUGCAGGCGAAGAAGAUGUGGCUUGUGCCAUCAGGAAACUAAUCGCAAGGGAGAAGACGACGUGGUGCUCAACCUAAUCAUGGUCGGCGGGUAGCGGCCAUAGCUGAUGUGCUGGAUGCUGGCGGGUCGGAGGAUGCAGUGAUGGAGCUCACGGUGAAGGGCGCACCGAUUCGUGGGUUUGCUGGGCGAACUUGCGAUAGAGAACGGUUGGAUCUGAGGCACGGGACAGCGGGGAGGCACCGGGGCUAUGGUCUGCUAGGCGUUGUGGUUCUAGUGUUCGCUCAGCCGCAGCUGGAGAGUUUGGAACGUUGUUUAUAGUCAAAAUGGCAACACCAGGCCAAUCAAUCCAUCCGUAUGUGGAAUGUCAGAGAGCCUACUGGUCAGCUUAUAUGGUGUUUUGCUAUUUAAGCUUAUGAAGCAAGGUGGAAAGUGGCGGGACUUCGUCGAUGUCGAGUUGGGUGUCAUCUGAAGCGCUUGCGGGUGGCUUGGCCACGUGUUGACUUGCACGCCGCACUGUCCUCAUACCGGCUGUCUUUGAUUCUCUUGGAUAGCGUGUUGGAGUCACAGUUUUAGCAACCAUUAAAUUGAGAUAGGAAGAAGAUGAACAAACCUUAGAACUGUGAGUCAAAGAUGAGUCAGAGCUUGAGCAGCACGGACAUGCCACCUCGUACUCAUCAGCUAUGGUGACAUGUUCGUGGAUGUGUCUCAGACCGAAGUCAUUGCCGCUGGUCCGUGAUUCCAUGCAUCCUUGUUUGGAUUGGAGGCAACAGAGCGUGGGUUGGAGUCAACGGCCCUUGGAGAUGUGCAAUAGCAAGGCAAAGAAGCGGACGAAGGACAAAGCAGCGGUCUCUGCGUCCUAGUGGCUGCAUCCUGCUCGUCAAUAUCUCACCGUAGUCACUGCCGCCAUGUCAUCCCAUGUAGAUUUGGACCUGACCUCCUCUCAUUCUCCUAGGACGCUUGAGCGCUUCAGCCGGCGCUUCACUGAUGACGACGAAGGCAGGAUCAGAAGGGGCACGUUGCAGCCCCAAAGAAUUGGAAACCCUAGCAGCCGAGUUUCUCCUUAACGUGUGUGGUAAGGAACGUGAAGCCUGCUUAAGAUUUGAAGAGGAGCACGUGAGCGAAGAGGUCAACUUUUUGAUAUUUUAUUAUCCAAUGGCUUUAGAUGAAAAAUUGAGCUAUGUUAACAAUGGAGUAUACUUGGUAAUUGUUUUUAAAAAGAUAGAACAAUUUCUAGUUAUUACAUAUGUAGAGAAUAGAUCUUCAUCCAUCAAAAUCAUACCUAAGCUUGUGUUGAUAAAUUAAAUGUAAGCCAUUCUUGUGCCUUGAAAGGGAAUAAAAUAU